rnacentral:rRNA from 1 species
GUGCCAGCCGCCGCGGUAAUACGUAGGGGGCUAGCGUUGUCCGGAAUUAUUGGGCGUAAAGAGCUCGUAGGCGGUUCGGCAAGUCACGUGUGAAAUCUCCACGCUCAACGUGGAGGCGCCACGUGAGACUGCUGUGACUAGAGUCCGGUAGGGGAGUGUGGAAUUCCCGGUGUAGCGGUGAAAUGCGCAGAGAUCGGGAGGAACACCCGUAGCGAAGGCGGCACUCUGGGCCGGUACUGACGCUGAGGAGCGAAAGCGUGGGGAGCAAACAGGAUUAGAUACCCUAGUAGUCC